rnacentral:piRNA from 1 species
UAUAGCAAGAUGAAUAAUCAU